rnacentral:rRNA from 1 species
GGAAUUUUGGACAAUGGGGGCAACCCUGAUCCAGCCAUGCCGCGUGAGUGAAGAAGGUCUUCGGGUUGUAAAGCUCUUUCAGCCGGAAAGAAAUCGUACAGACUAAUACUCUGUAUGGAUGACGGUACCGGAAGAAGAAGCACCGGCUAACUACGUGCCAGCAGCCGCGGUAAUACGUAGGGUGCGAGCGUUAAUCGGAAUUACUGGGCGUAAAGGGUGCGCAGGCGGUUUUGUAAGUCAGAUGUGAAAUCCCCGGGCUUAACCUGGGAACUGCGUUUGAAACUACAAGACUAGAGUGUAGCAGAGGGGGGUGGAAUUCCACGUGUAGCAGUGAAAUGCGUAGAGAUGUGGAGGAACACCAAUGGCGAAGGCAGCCCCCUGGGUUAACACUGACGCUCAGGCACGAAAGCGUGGGGAGCAAACAGGAUUAGAUACCCUGGUAGUCCACGCCCUAAACUAUGUCAACUAGUUGUCGGGCCUUAACGGGUUUGGUAACGUAGCUAACGCAUGAGGUUGACCGCCUGGGGAGUACGGUCGCAAGAUUAAAACUCAAAUGAAUUGACGG